rnacentral:lncRNA from 1 species
GCAAAGGUCCAUUUUUGCAAAUUUUUGGUUCAACUAUUGAUUUCUGCAAAAUUGAAAAAAAUAUAUAAAAAUAAAAAAAAUCGCUACUUGCGGGAGGAGAAAGAAUAGAGAGAAGGUGUGCCGUGGCGGUAGGGAGAAAGGAGAGGUGGGAGAGAGAGGGUGAGGGGUGAGAUUAUUCAUAGGAGGGGGUUAGGGUUAGGGUUAGGUUAGUGGGCUUUUAGAUGGGCUUUGGACCAAAACGAUUUAAAUCCGUGAAAUAAAUUGAUCGUAAUUUAUUCCUUAGACUUGAACAGAUGAUUUAGAUUAAUUUUUUGGGAACGAAUUAAGUAGCAAAUACUUAAUUCGAGAAGCCGAAAAAUAUCACCAUAAUUUAAAUUGAACUCUCGGGAAUUUAGUACAAAUGAAUUAGCCUAUUUUCCGAAAUCAAAUAAAUUAGCAAGGAAUUAAUUUGAAAAGUUGGAAAAUAAUUUCAUAAUCCAUUUAAGAAAUUCCAGAGCACUUUAAAAAGAUCAGGCCGGGAAAAGAUAGCGGCCUGACUUGUUAGCAAGUUAAAGAGUCGUCAGGUGAUUUAGGUGGGUCCGAGACAAAUGAUAGCCGAGCUAGCUUUAAGGUCCGGGCCAUGUUAGCUGGUUUAGCGAGUUAGUCUCGUUAGCAGCUGAGGGUCCAAGUUAG